rnacentral:rRNA from 1 species
GUGUUUAACAUGCAGUCGAACGGUACGCGGGGGGUACCCUGGCGACGAGUGGCGAACGGGUGAGUAAUACAUCGGAACAUGUCUGGAGUGGGGGAUAGCUCGGCGAAAGCCGGAUUAAUACCGCAUACGCUCUGAGGAGGAAAGCGGGGGACCUGGUAACGGGCCUCGCGCUGCGGGAGUGGCCGAUGUCGGAUUAGCUAGUAGGUAGGGUAAAGGCCUACCUAGGCGACGAUCCGUAGCUGGUCUGAGAGGAUGAUCAGCCACACUGGGACUGAGACACGGCCCAGACUCCUACGGGAGGCAGCAGUGGGGAAUUUUGGACAAUGGGGGCAACCCUGAUCCAGCCAUGCCGCGUGAGUGAAGAAGGCCUUCGGGUUGUAAAGCUCUUUCGGACGGGACGAAAUGGUUAGCGUGAAUAACGCUGACUGAUGACGGUACCGUAAUAAGAAGCACCGGCUAACUACGUGCCAGCAGCCGCGGUAAUACGUAGGGUGCGAGCGUUAAUCGGAAUUACUGGGCGUAAAGCGCGCGCAGGCGGUUCGCCAAGUCAGGUGUGAAAUCCCCGGGCUUACCUGGGAAUUGCGCUUGAAACUAGCGGGCUUGAGUGUGGCAAAGGGGGUGGAAUUCCACGUGUAGCAGUGAAUGCGUAAGAUGUGGAGGAACACC